rnacentral:rRNA from 1 species
AGUGAACGCUGGCGGUAGGCCUAACACAUGCAAGUCGAACGGCAGCACAGUAAGAGCUUGCUCUUACGGGUGGCGAGUGGCGGACGGGUGAGGAAUACAUCGGAAUCUACUUUUUCGUGGGGGAUAACGUAGGGAAACUUACGCUAAUACCGCAUACGACCUACGGGUGAAAGCAGGGGAUCUUCGGACCUUGCGCGAUUGAAUGAGCCGAUGUCGGAUUAGCUAGUUGGCGGGGUAAAGGCCCACCAAGGCGACGAUCCGUAGCUGGUCUGAGAGGAUGAUAGGCCACACUGGAACGGAGACACGGUCCAGAGUCCUACGGGAGGCAGCAGUGGGGAAUAUUGGACAAUGGGCGCAAGCCUGAUCCAGCCAUACCGCGUGGGUGAAGAAGGCCUUCGGGUUGUAAAGCCCUUUUGUUGGGAAAGAAAAGCAGCAGGUUAAUACCCCGCUGUUCUGACGGUACCCAAAGAAUAAGCACCGGCUAACUUCGUG